UACGUAGGGCGCGAGCGUUGUCCGGAAUUAUUGGGCGUAAAGAGCUCGUAGGCGGCCUGUUGCGUCUGCUGUGAAAUCCCGGGGCUCAACCCCGGGCGUGCAGUGGAUACGGGCGGGCUAGAGGCAGGCAGGGGAGAACGGAAUUCCCGGUGUAGCGGUGAAAUGCGCAGAUAUCAGGAGGAACACCGGUGGCGAAGGCGGUUCUCUGGGAAUAUCCUGACGCUGAGGAGCGAAAGUGUGGGGAGCGAACAGG
rnacentral:rRNA from 1 species